rnacentral:rRNA from 1 species
UACGUAGGGUGCGAGCGUUAAUCGGAAUUACUGGGCGUAAAGGGCGCGUAGGCGGGAUGGCAAGUCGGUCGUGAAAUCCCUCGGCUCAACCGAGGAACGUCGAUCGAUACUGCUGUUCUUGAGGAUUGCAGAGGAGACUGGAAUUCCCGGUGUAGCGGUGAAAUGUGUAGAGAUCGGGAGGAACACCGGUGGCGAAGGCGGGUCUCUGGGCAAUUCCUGACGCUGAGGCGCGAAAGCGUGGGGAGCAAACGGG